rnacentral:rRNA from 1 species
GAUGAACGCUGGCGGCGUGCCUAAUACAUGCAAGUCGAGCGAACGGACGAGAGGCUUGCUUCUCUGAUGUUAGCGGCGGACGGGUGAGUAACACGUGGAUAACCUACCUAUAAGACUGGGAUAACUUCGGGAAACCGGAGCUAAUACCGGAUAAUAUUUUGAACCGCAUGGUUCAAAAGUGAAAGACGGUCUUGCUGUCACUUAUAGAUGGAUCCGCGCUGCAUUAGCUAGUUGGUAAGGUAACGGCUUACCAAGGCAACGAUGCAUAGCCGACCUGAGAGGGUGAUCGGCCACACUGGAACUGAGACACGGUCCAGACUCCUACGGGAGGCAGCAGUAGGGAAUCUUCCGCAAUGGGCGAAAGCCUGACGGAGCAACGCCGCGUGAGUGAUGAAGGUCCUCGGAUCGUAAAACUCUGUUAUUAGGGAAGAACAUAUGUGUAAGUAACUGUGCACAUCUUGACGGUACCUAAUCAGAAAGCCACGGCUAACUACGUG